GAUGAACGCUGGCGGCGUGCCUAAUACAUGCAAGUCUAGCGAACGGACGAGAAGCUUGCUUCUCUGACGUUAGCGGCGGACGGGUGAGUAACACGUGGAUAACCUACCUAUAAGACUGGGAUAACUUCGGGAAACCGGAGCUAAUACCGGAUAAUAUUUUGAACCGCAUGGUUCAAAAGUGAAAGACGGUCUUGCUGUCACUUAUAGAUGGAUCCGCGCUGCAUUAGCUAGUUGGUAAGGUAACGGCUUACCAAGGCAACGAUGCAUAGCCGACCUGAGAGGGUGAUCGGCCACACUGGAACUGAGACACGGUCCAGACUCCUACGGGAGGCAGCAGUAGGGAAUCUUCCGCAAUGGGCGAAAGCCUGACGGAGCAACGCCGCGUGAGUGAUGAAGGUCUUCGGAUCGUAAAACUCUGUUAUUAGGGAAGAACAUAUGUGUAAGUAACUGUGCACAUCUUGACGGUACCUAAUCAGAAAGCCACGGCUAACUACGUG
rnacentral:rRNA from 1 species